rnacentral:lncRNA from 1 species
UUUGUAUAUAUCUUUCCACCAAUAUUCCUCCUUCAAUUUAGUAAAAGUUACCCAAAUUCCUCUUUGUCCUACCUAUAAAGUUGCAUAAAAAUCCUUAAUAACCUCUUGUUAAGCUUCUAAAUCACAUAUUACUUGUUGUAAUACUUUUCUUCUCUUUUUUGGAUGCUUCCAUAAAUAUCCAUCACAUAAAAAUAUCUAUAAGCUUUUU